CCGCACGUUUUUUUCUCCGGGGCAUGCUUGGUGAUAGAUGGAAAUGACUUAUUCCUAUCGUUAAAAGAUAUAGGUCCUGGUUAGCCCUGACCAUUAUCCGAUCGCUAAGACGCUUGCACACUCCCUCAAAGCUCCAUACAGGGGCCUGGUAUAGCCAUCCACCAUUAGCCGUGUCCAAUUCCCCUUCAAACUGCCUGGCUCUCUUGCACGGUCCAUCAAAACUCCGUAAGUUUUCACUCCAGGGGUAUAUAAUCCUUCGGGCCUUUAGGUCCUGUGUAUGUCUCAAGGAUAGCCGCGGCCAGCGCUUUAACUGUUCACGAUUUUGGAAAAGACUGUCCAGCUUAUUCAUAAGUGUUAUGAAAAUUGGAUAAUCCACCCAUUUAAAACUAAACACAGGAAUAAAAAAGUUUACAUAUUUGCAUGCUGGGG